rnacentral:rRNA from 1 species
AACACAUGCAAGUCGAACGUGAAGCCCGGGCUUGCCCGGGUGGAAAGUGCGAACGGGUGCGUAACACGUGAGCAACCUGCCCCGAAGACCGGGAUAACCCGGGAAACCGGUGCUAAUACCGGAUGCCCUCAUCAUGUCGCAUGGCGAAUGAGGAAAUGGAUUCCGCUUCGGGAUGGGCUCGCGGCUUAUCAGCUUGUGGUGAGGUAAUGGCUCACCAAGGCUACGACGAGUAGCUGGUCUGAGAGAUGUCCAGCCACACUGGGACUGAGACACGGCCCAGACUCCUACGGGAGGAGCAGUGGGGAAUCUUGCACAAUGGGCGAAGGCCUGAUGCAGCGACGCCCGUGCGGGAUGACGGCCUUCGGGUUGUAAACCGCUUUCAGCAGGGACGAGAUGACGGUACCUGCAGAAGAAGCCCCGGCCAACUACGUGCCAGCAGCC